AGCAGCCGCGGUAAUUCCAGCUCCAAUAGCGUAUAUUAAAGUUGUUGCAGUUAAAAAGCUCGUAGUUGAAUUUCGGGGUUCUACCGUCGGUCGGGCUACCAAGUCUGUACUGGUGUGUAGAAUUCCUACCUUCUGGGGAACCAUCAUGUUAUUAAUUUAGCGUAGUGGGAAACCAGGACCUUUACCUUGAAAAAAUUAGAGUGUUCAAAGCAGGCUUAUGUCUGAAUACAUUAGCAUGGAAUAAUAGAAUAGGACGGUGGUCCUGUUUUGUUGGUUUCUGAAUCACCGUAAUGAUUAAUAGGGAUAGUUGGGGGCAUUAGUAUUCAAUUGUCAGAGGUGAAAUUCUUGGAUUUAUUGAAGACUAACUUCUGCGAAAGCAUUUGCCAAGGAUGUUUUCAUUAAUCAAGAACGAAAGUUAGGGGAUCGAAGACGAUCAGAUACCGUCGUAGUCUUAACCAUAAACUAUGCCGACUAGGGAUCGGACGAUGUUAAAUUUUAUUGACUCGUUCGGCGCCUUAC
rnacentral:rRNA from 1 species